rnacentral:rRNA from 2 species
UGGGGAAUAUUGGACAAUGGAGGGAACUCUGAUCCAGCAAUUCUGUGUGUGUGAAGAAGGUUUUAGGACUGUAAAACACUUUUAGUAGGGAAGAAAAAAAUGACGGUACCUACAGAAGAAGCAACGGCUAAAUACGUGCCAGCAGCCGCGGUAAUACGUAUGUUGCGAGCGUUAUCCGGAAUUAUUGGGCUUAAAGGGCAUCUAGGCGGUAAGACAAGUUGAAGGUGAAAACCUGUGGCUCAACCAUAGGCUUGCCUACAAAACUGUUGAACUAGAGUACUGGAAAGGUGGGUGGAACUACACGAGUAGAGGUGAAAUUCGUAGAUAUGUGUAGGAAUGCCGAUGAUGAAGAUAACUCACUGGACAGAAACUGACGCUGAAGUGCGAAAGCUAGGGGAGCAAACAGGAUUAGAUACCCUGGUAGUCCUAGCUGUAAACGAUGAUCACUGGGUGUGGGGAUGCGAAGUCUCUGUGCCGAAGCAAAAGCGAUAAGUGAUCCGCCUGGGGAGUACGUUCGCAAGAAUGAAACUCAAAGGAAUUGACGGGGGCCCGCACAAGUGGUGGAGCAUGUGGUUUAAUUCGACGCAACGCGAGGAACCUUACCAGAUCUUGACAUCCUCGGGAGAGUAUAGAAGUAUACUUGUGCCUUCGGGAACCGAGAGACAGGUGGUGCAUGGCUGUCGACAGCUCGUGUUGUGAGAUGUUGGGUUAAGUCCCGCAACGAGCGAAACCCCUAUCAUUAGUUGCCAUCAUUAAGUUGGGGACUCUAAUGAAACUGCCUACGAAGAGUAGGAGGAAGGUGGGGAUGACGUCAAGUCAUCAUGCCCCUUAUGAUCUGGGCUACACACGUGCUACAAUGGGUAGUACAAAGAGAAGCUUUGUAGCGAUACAUGGCGAAACUUAAAAAGCUAUUCUUAGUUCGGAUUGAAGUCUGCAACUCGACUUCAUGAAGUUGGAAUCACUAGUAAUCGUGAAUCAGCAAUGUCACGGUGAAUACGUUCUCGGGCCU